rnacentral:rRNA from 1 species
ACGGAAGGCAGCAGUGGGGAAUAUUGGGCAAUGGGCGAAAGCCUGACCCAGCAACGCCGCGUGAAGGAUGACGGUCUUCGGGUUGUAAACUUCUUUAAUUGGGGAAGAAUAAAUGACCUACCCAAAGAGUAAGUCACGGCUAACUACGUGCCAGCAGCCGCGGUAAUACGUAGGUGACAAGCGUUAUCCGGAUUUACUGGGCGUAAAGGGCGUGUAGGCGGUUUGGCAAGUCAGAAGUGAAAUUCCUGAGCUCAACUCGGGCGCUGCUUCUGAAACUGCUAGACUUGAGUGCUGGAGGGGAUAGCGGAAUUCCUAGUGGAGCGGUAAAAUGCGCAGAUAUUAGGAAGAACACUGGUGGCGAAGGCGGCUAUCUGGACAGUAACUGACGCUGAGGCGCGAAAGCGUGGGGAGCAAACAGGAUUAGAUACCCUGGUA